AAAAGCUACUAAGAGCUCAUGGAGGAUGCCUUGGCGCUGAAUGCCGAAGAAGGACGUGGGACACUGCGAAAAGCCUGGGGGAGCUGUGAACGAGCGCCGAUCCCGGGAUGUCCGAAUGGGGAAACCCGACAGAGAGGACCUCUGUCAUUCAUACAUGAAUCAAAUAGUGUAUGAAAGGGAACCCGGGGAACUGAAACAUCUAAGUACCCGGAGGAAAAGAAAAGAUUCCCAAAGUAGUGGCGAGCGAAAUGGGAGAAGUCCAAACCGGAGCGGGGAGACCUGCGAAGGGGUAGUAGGAUCAGGAAAAAGUGAAAAAAGCCAGAGGGAAGCGGAAGGAUAUGGGAAAAUCCGGCGAAGAGGGUGAUACCCCCGUACGCGAAAACCGAAGGGCACGACCUGACACCUGAGUAGUGCCGUGCACGCUAAUACGGCAUGAAGCUGGGGAGACCACUCUCCAAGACUAAACACAUUCAGCGACCGAUAGAGGACAAGUACCGUGAGGGAAAGGUGAAAAGUACCCUGAACAAGGGAGUGAAAAAGAACCUGAAACCGUGAGCUUACAAGCAGUCGGAGGGCGAUGGUGAAAACCGGGCCUGACGGCGUGCCUCUUGGAGAAUGAGCCUGCGAGUUAGUUGUCGUGGCGAGGUUAAGGGAGAGAAACCCGGAGCCGAAGCGAAAGCGAGUCUGAAAAGGGCGUCGAGUCGCGACAACUAGACACGAAACUGGAUGAGCUAACCAUGGGCAGGAUGAAGCGAGACUAAACCCUCGUGGAGGUCCGAACCUUUCAACGCUGCAAAGUUGAGGGAUGACCUGUGGUUAGGGGUGAUAUGCCAAACGAAUUCAGAGAUAGCUUGUUCUCCCCGAAAUAGUUUUAGGACUAGCGUGGGGGGAUAACUUAUGGAGGUAGAGCACUGACUGGGUAAGGGGGUCAAAGACUUACCGAACCCAAACAAACUCCGAAUGCCAUAAGGGGGGACCCCUGCAGUCGGACUGCGGGUGAUGAGAUUCGUAGUCAAGAGGGAAACAGCCCAGAUCAUCGGCUAAGGUCCUCAAAUUUAUGCUAAGUGGGAAACGAUGUGGAGUUACAAAAACAACCAGGAGGUUCGCUCAGAAGCAGCAAUCCUUUAAAGAGUGCGUAAUAGCUCACUGGUCAAGUGAUUCUGCGCGGAAAACGUAACGGGGCUAAGCAUAAUACCGAAGCCAUGGGAUUGAUAUGGAGACAUAUAGAUCGGUAGGGGAGCGUUCUGUGAGCGGAGAAGGCACACUGAGAAGAGUGUUGGAGCGAGCAGAAGUGAGAAUGCAGGCAUGAGUAGCGCAAAACAUGUGAGAACCAUGUUCGUUGAAAAUCCAAGGUUUCCGACGUCAAGUCAAUCUGCGUCGGGUUAGUCGGGGCCUAAGGCGAGGCCGAGAGGCGUAGUCGAUGGACAACUGGUAAAAAAUCCAGUACCGAUUGUGGAGAGUGAAGGGGGGACACAACGAGGGAAUCCGGCCUGUUAGUGAAUUCAGGUGGAUGAACGUCAGGCGAAGAGACCGGGAAAGAAAAAGCCCGGACGAGCUGAGGGAAAUCAGGAGGCGCAAGCCAGAACCUGGAGGGACCUUGUUGGCGAGAAAAGCCUCUAAGCGAAGAGACACAAUUGCCCGUACCGGAAACCGACACUGGUGGAUAAGUAGAAGAUACAAAAACGAACGGGAGAACUAUCGUUAAGGAACUAGGCAAAAAGGCCCCGUAACUUAGGGAGAAGGGGUGCUCACGGAACUGAAAGGUAAAGUGAGUUGCAGUGAAAGGGCUCUAGUGACUGGUUAUCAAAACCACAGGUCUCUGCGAAGUUGAAAGACGAAGUAUAGGGGCUGACGCCUGCCCAGUGCCGGAAGGUUAAGGGGAGAGGUUAGACGGAAGUCGAAGCUUUGAACUGAAGCCCCGGUGAACGGCGGCCGUAACUAUAACGGUCCUAAGGUAGCGAAAUUCCUUGUCGGGCAAGUUCCGACCCGCACGAA
rnacentral:rRNA from 1 species